AGCUCUGUCUCCCUACUAUGGAAAUAGAGAUAAAUUAAUUUUAGAUAUUUGUAGAUUUAGAUAUAGACACCGCCAGGUUUUUAAUACUUUUUCAUUCUUUUUAUUUUCAUUUCAUUUGAGGCCACCAAAUUCACUUCACCUACCCUAGUGCCUUCAAUUAUCCAAGGCUGGCCUGUCAUAUUUUACGUAUUUUAUUAGCUAUUCAGUCACCCAAAUACCAACAAUAAAGGUCAACUAGCUUGUCCAUACACAGUCACACACACUACACUACUAGUCACAAAACAAACACUCUUACUAUCACGACAUUCUUGAUCUAUAAAGUCCAAAUGUAGCGGUCUGUACAUACACCCAAAAAAGGUUACUUGUUUUUAUUUUUACUUAUUAAAGAAUCCAUAGCCCACAGAAUCAUUACAUA